rnacentral:rRNA from 1 species
UACGAAGGGGGCUAGCGUUGCUCGGAAUUACUGGGCGUAAAGGGCGCGUAGGCGGCACUGUUAGUCAGGCGUGAAAGUCCUGGGCUCAACCUGGGAACUGCGCUUGAUACGGCAGAGCUAGAGGAUGGAAGAGGGUCGCGGAAUUCCCAGUGUAGAGGUGAAAUUCGUAGAUAUUGGGAAGAACACCGGUGGCGAAGGCGGCUACCUGGACAGAAACUGACGCUGAGGCGCGAAAGCUAGGGGAGCAAACAGG